GCUGGGGGCGUGUCUCUGUGUGUCUGUCAGUGCGUGACGCCGUCUAGUGGAGCGCUGGAGAACUGCAGUUCAGGAUCAACACGAGCUGCAGCAGCACACAGGAGACUGAAGCUUUAAACUCAUCCAGUUGUAAACAAAGUCAUCAUUUUGACAGGAUUUCGACUCGCAAAACAUCGUGGGUUAACUCUGUGCACUCAACUGAGAGGAUGUCUUCUGGUGAUGGAUCUACACUGAUAUCUGUUCAUUACGCUGCACAUGUCGUCUCUCUCUCGUCUCUGAUGGACUCAGUUCAGCUCAUGCAGCUCUCUGAAACAUGCUGAGGAUUUCAAGAAGAGAGAAGCCAUGUGCAGGAUCUGGAAAUACAGCUUUACAUGUGAACUGAAGCCAUGAGGAAGAGGAAGGUGGUUCUUCAUCAUAUCCUCACUGAUGAAGCCCUGACUUUACACUCUUUACCUAUAAUGUCCACCUGAUUACGGGCCUGUUUCAAUACACACACGUCUGCUCUUGAACACAUCAAAGCAUCUGAACAUGAUAUCUGAGGCUGAACGUUUCCCAUCAGGCAUCAUGUUCUAGUUCUAGUCUUCAGUGUUAAAGUUAUGCUGAUAAGAUCUAUAACCUGACAGUAAAAAUAAAGAAUUGCAGCAUUUAUGACUG